rnacentral:miRNA from 1 species
ACCAUUAGCCUAAUGUAUCGUGU